AAUAAUUUCCAAUUUCACUCUUUAAAAUAAUUUUCCUUUUUUUCUGAUAUAUCUUUACCACUAAUUAUAAUCAUUUGAUACAUAUGAUUCAGUUCAAUUCCCUGCAGUAAAUCCUUGUCAUUUUGAAUAGGUUUAAAGGUACACAUUAGAUCCUAAAUUCAAAUAUUUCUAUUCUUAUAUUUACUAAAAUGUGGAAGCAAUGCCUUACAUUUUCCACUCUUAUUUAGAAUGGACAAAUAAAAGAAGCCAGUGCUUGUAAACCCAUAUUUUUGGGUGAUAUUCCAGUGUUCUUAAUUUUGGAUUUCCCAGUCUUAGAGAUUAGAUUUUGAAGAAUGAGACAGUAUGUUAAACUGAAAGAAGACUCAGUGCCAAAUGACAUGCUUUCAUCAACUGAUUAGAAUUUUUUUCUAUUCAUUUUACCCUGAUUUCAUUUCUAACUACUUUCUUUUUAGCUGUUCAGCACUUUCUAAUCUUUUAAAGCAAAGGAAUGGAUGGCACAUACACACAAAAGGAAAAAUAAAUAGAGCUGCCAUUCCUGAAUUUCACUAUUUUGCAGUCAGGAAUACAGGGUUAUAAACUCUAGUAACACAAAGUAUUUCCUUUGAGUAAAAGGGAAAAAAAAAAACACUAAUAACUAUGAACUAAGUACACCCUUUGGUGCAUGCAGGACAAACAAUAUUUUUCCUGGCAUGUAUCUAAUCCUUCAGAGGUAAAAGCUUCUCUGUGAAGAGUUGAUCACAAUACCAACAUCUUCUGCCAUUAACAUAACAAAUGCUAAAUUUAAAACAAAGACAUUUUCAUUUCAACAAUAUGAGAAAAUUAUGAGAUAUUUCUGGCCCAUGGGACCAGAGUUUAUCGUAAACCUAGGAUGUGCUUCUGAGACACCAACUCUGAGAAUUAACUCCUUCUGAAUGAGCCCAGACCACUGCUGUGUCCUGUAAGACAGACAGUGGUCACCCAAAAGCAUGGGACUCUGAGGCUACAGACAGACUUCAUCCAACCUUCACUUCA